CACGUAGGCGGGCUUUUAAGUCGGAGGUGAAAUCCCAAGGCUCAACCUUGGAACUGCCUUCGAUACUGGAAGUCUUGAGUCCGGAAGAGGUGAGUGGAACUCCGAGUGUAGAGGUGAAAUUCGUAGAUAUUCGGAAGAACACCAGUGGCGAAGGCGGCUCACUGGUCCGGUACUGACGCUGAGGUGCGAAAGCGUGGGGAGCAAACA
rnacentral:rRNA from 1 species